CCUGCCGUCGGGCCCUGCGGGGACACCAACCCCCAGCCCUGGCCCUGCAGGCCCCACAGCCACUGCCCUGGGCUGCUUGAGCACAGGCCCAGGCCCUGGAGCCCCCGUGGGGCAGGGACGAGGGGGAGAGAGGCACCGAGCGACAGGGAGAGUGUACGGGUGCAUUUAUGAAGGCAAGUGUUGGGUCUUAUUGGCGCCGCACAAGAAACCAACGUGUGAUACCCAGACAUUCACUGUUAGAAACAGGAAGAAGCCCUCGCUUCAGAUUGUGCAAAAGAUGUACCAAGGCUGAGGAAAAUGGCAAAAAGGGAAGAAAUGCCAUAGCAUAACUUCGGGAUGGCAGAUUGUACACAAAUGGGAGGCCUGAGCAGGCUGCUUUUAGCAGGGGAACAUGACCUGACUGCACAGGAGGCAAGGAACUCUCUUCU